rnacentral:misc_RNA from 1 species
GAUGAAGAACGCAGUGAAAUGCGAUAAGUAGUGUGAAUUGCAGAAUUCUGGAAUCAUCGAAUCUUUGAACGCACAUUGCGCCUUCUGGUAUUCCGGAAGGCAUGCCUGUUCGAGAGUCAUUAACAACCGUUUCGAUCCCUUUCUUUCAGAAAUUACAAAGAGGAAAAGGGUUUGGUUAUGGUGGAGGAGGGAAAGGGAGCGUUUAGCCUGUAAAAAAAGAGGCUGUGUUCCGCCUCCCCCCCAAAAUUGUACAGGCGGUCGUGUGCGCCCACGCAUCGAGGUGUUGUAAAAGCUGCCACGGCACUUUUCACCUGUGCAGUGCGAGAUUGGCCAGCCGGUUUAAAAACCCCUCCAAACAAUCAAAGGUUGACCUCGGAUCAGGUAGGGAUACCCGCUGAACUUAAGCAUAUCAAUAAGCGGAGGA